CAGACAGAGCCUUUGGCUUUGGGAUUGAAUGUACCCCUGCUGAGACAACAAGUCCUGGGCAUAGAACUGGAUUGGAAACUACAAAAGGUCCUUGAAAGCUUUUCUAAAUACCUCGACUCUCAAAGCCUAAACUUCACACACAAGAGCUGUCGCCAUACAAUCGUUUUUGUAGGGACAUUCUGAGAAACAAAGAGGAUGCUGGAGGUCCUGGAAGGCUCCCCUUUAGUCCCUGGUGAAUCAAAGCAUGACCAUAAAGGUUGCUGGACUGCCCAAUGGCUUUUCCCUCAAGAAACCUUCCUUUUAUGGAAGGGCACAAUCAGAAGGCAUUUUGAAAGACUCCAAGUGGAUUUCAUUUGAGACAAGUGUGAUAUUAACAGUCGCAGUUUGUGUCUGCAUGCCAUUUGGCUCUAUGCAAAGUGGGAAAAACCAGGUAACUAAAAAAAUAACACAGGCCUACAUGUGAGUCCUUGUAUAGUGCUGGGCCAUUGCAAACAUCCAGAACAGCUUUAGUGCAUUUUGUUAUAGAUUCUGUCUUUAACACUUUGUAAGGGAUGUGACACUAUUCCUCAGUUGGAGUUUUCAUGAUUAUAGUGGAACACAUGUUCUAAGGCACCGCUCCAGAAUAUCCUAGAAGUGUUUAGUUGAACGUGAUGGCCCUUGGAAACAGUUUACAUCUUUUUCAUGCUCGUCAAACCAUUCAGUACUUCAAAUAUGUCUAACAUUCCUGUGAAUUAUAUUCCUUCAUUGAUACUGCUGUGAUUUUUUUUUCUCCAGCAAUGCAGGAAGACCAGUUAUUUGUUAUGCUCAUAAGUGUUCCUUUUUUGCCUAAAUCAGCUAUCAUGUAAAUAUAGUCUAUAAUUGGGGGCGCUGUCAAAUAUGGGUAAAAUAUGUAUAAAUUAAUUUUCACCCACAAGACAACAACUUGUGUUUAUUUUUCAAAAAGGGCAAGUUCAAACCAAUUUUUUUGUUUAGAUUGACAGGACAGUUCAGAGCUAAAAAAAAACAAAUAUGGACCUUGUUGUAGUUAGACUGAUCAGCAACACAGAGCAUCAAUUAGAUCCUGACCAGUAACAAUGAAAACACAUACAGAACCUAAACUGUCUGAGUUUUAUAGCUUUUGGUUAGCACUGAAUUAAGGAGAAAUUUUUUAUGAUAAAUAACAAAAAAUACAAGCUUGCUUAAAUCAUUAAAAAUCAGGAAGCAGCA